CAGAUAAGACUGCCCUAUCCUUCCUCUGUCCUGACCAUACCAGUCUAUACUUACGAUUACAAACAUGAGGUCGUUAGCAUUUGUUCUCCUCACAGUCUGCGUCCUAGGGAGCGUCACCGCAAAAUCGUUGGAAUCGAAAUCUCUGCUAGACACGAUCCUCGGGCAUCACGGCUGUCAAGGUGGCGUUGGCUUGGUAAACUGUUUUGUAGACCCAUGUAUGGUAGCACGAUGUUCUAACACAGCUGCAGUGCAUUGCGUUUCCAACUACUGUGGUGGCUGUCAUGCUGACUGGGAGGACGUGAACGGUAUGGCUGUUACCUGCUAGGUAACGUUCUUGACGGAACUGCUACAUGUAGAUUCAACACAGCCAAAUACUACACUUGACAACUGUUAAUGCCGUUUGUCUUUUGUCAUAUUUUUCGACUUUUAUAAAAUAUCGUUUUUAAA